rnacentral:lncRNA from 1 species
CAUAGGCGGUCUUAUGAUCCUCAGAGGCAGAAUAGGUGUUCUGAACUUUCCUUUAGUGGCCUCAAAGAGGAUAUCUGCCCAGAGGUAAUAUGGCUAACAAGAGAAGAAGGUAGAAGAACCCACAAGCUUCUUUUUUUGACCUUUUUCUUUCUCCUCCACUCUCCCACCAGACUGCUCCAGUCUUGUUCUUUCCUGGCUGUGUUCCCUCCUCCUAGGACCCCAGGCUGCAUAAGAAAAAAGUUUGCUGAUCCCUGAAUUUGAUGAAUGAGUCCGACUAUGAGUUGACUAUUUCACCUGCUAUUCUAAUUUUCUGAUUGAAAAACAAAAUGUGUUACCCUCCCAACUGUGAAAAUUCUUUUCAAGUCCGUGUCCACAAAUUACCCAACAGAAUCUUCCUGAGCCAAUACAGAGAAUAAGGUAAGCUAAUUAAACAUUUUUCCUAAGCAGCCUAUUAAACAAAAAUCUCAAUGGAAGUUUUGGCAUGUUUAUCAUCUGAGGGCCACCUCCAUUUGUUCCUUCCCCCGCGAUAGCAGUGGUCCCACCAGAGAUCUGUCCACUUAUGUGAAUUGGGUCUUUUGAGCAUUUUUCCAAGAAAAGGUAACUUUCCAG